AGGGUAAAACCUUUUAGUAACGUAGCUAACGCGUGAAGUUGACCGCCUGGGGAGUACGGCCGCAAGGCUAAAACUCAAAGGAAUUGACGGGGACCCGCACAAGCGGUGGAUGAUGUGGAUUAAUUCGAUGCAACGCGAAAAACCUUACCUACCCUUGACAUGUCAGAGAUCCCUGAGAGAUUGGGGAGUGCCGCAAGGAAUCUGAACACAGGUGCUGCAUGGCUGUCGUCAGCUCGUGUCGUGAGAUGUUGGGUUAAGUCCCGCAACGAGCGCAACCCUUGUCGUUAAUUGCCAUCAUUUGGUUGGGCACUUUAACGAGACUGCCGGUGACAAACCGGAGGAAGGUGGGGAUGACGUCAAGUCCUCAUGGCCCUUAUGGGUAGGGCUUCACACGUCAUACAAUGGUCGGUACAGAGGGUUGCGAAGCCGCGAGGUGGAGCCAAUCCCAGAAAGCCGAUCGUAGUCCGGAUUGGAGGCUGCAACUCGCCUCCAUGAAGUCGGAAUCGCUAGUAAUCGCGGAUCAGCAUGUCGCGGUGAAUACGUUCCCGGGUCUUGUACACACCGCCCGUCACACCAUGGGAGUGGGUUCUGCCAGAAGUAGGUAGCUUAACCGCAAGGAGGGCGCUUACCACGGCAGGGUUCAUGACUGGGGUGAAGUCG
rnacentral:rRNA from 1 species